rnacentral:rRNA from 1 species
AACGAACGUUGGCGGCGUGGAUGAGGCAUGCAAGUCGAACGCGAAAGCCGCAAGGCGAGUAAAGUGGCGGACGGGCGAGUAACACGUAAUCAAGCUACCUGCGAGACGGGGAUAACUUCGGGAAACCGAAGCUAAGACCCGAUGGUCUUCUAGGAACGCAUGUUCCAUGAAGUAAAUGGGCGGGAUCCUCCGGGAUCGCCUGCUCGCAGAGGUGAUUGCGGCCCAUCAGCUAGUUGGUAGGGUAAUGGCCUACCAAGGCAACGACGGGUAGCCGGCCUUAGAGGGUGGUCGGCCGCACUGGGACUGAGACACUGCCCAGACUCCUACGGGAGGCUGCAGUCGAGAAUCUUCCGCAAUGGGCGAAAGACCUGACGGAGCGACGCCGCGUGGAGGAUGAAGGCCUCGUGU